AUACUGGUUGAUUAUUGCAAGAAUGAAAGGCACCCUGACCUUGUGGACUGAACGCCUUGCGGCUUUCAAUGUUGCCCAUUAUACUGAAGGCAGGCAACUCCUAGAGAGAGGCGGAAUCGACAGGAGAGCUGCUUCCUGGGCAACCUGCCAGAAAAGGCUUCAGCAGCAGCAGUUUAGACACCACCAAACAGCUCAGGCAGCAAAGGAAACAGCUGGGGAAGGGGGGUGCGGCUGGGGGGUGAGGCAAAGACAGAGUAUAUAAAAAUAUUGUUAGCACACAGUUUAAAGAGCUCCCGGGCAUCCGUGCUAUACAGCGCCUUUGCUAAUCCUGCCCCUCAUCAUCCGCCUGAACUGAAAACCGACCUGGGAAGGAAAGCUGAGGAAGGAAGCAGCAACCAAUAUGGGGCUAUGAUGUCAGCAUGCCCAGUGCAAUAUUCAAGAAAAGGGUAAGGUGGAUCCCAGUGGAGUCAGUGGGAGGAUGGAUAAGUUCAAACUCUUUGAGAGAUUGACCUCUAAGCUCAGAGCCAACUGCUUUCCAGUCUGUUAGUUCUCAUUCAACUUGAUACGGAGAUGAUGACAAAGAAACUACCCCAGAGGAAUCCUGCCCAGCAGCCCGAGAGCCGAAGGACCAGGGCCGCUCUUCAGAUCAAGUCUUCUGUGAUUGUCUGGAGCUGUCUAAAAAAGGAUGGAAAGCCUUCUGAAAAAGAUGCCUUUCUCUCAAAAUGGAUGUUGAAAGCUGUUUCACAUUAACAACAGUAAAAGUCUCCUCCCACACGUAGAAGUCUACUCAUGUAUAGAAGUGCGGGUUUCCUCAUCUGAUGAUGACACCUCAGGGGGCAGCUAUGAAGAUUAAAUGAAUCAACACAUAUGAAGAAUUAAGAAGAGAUUUCUGGAACAUGGUAGGUCACAGAUAUAUUUCCUAUUAUUAUUCGCUAUCUUAAAUUAGAACCCUAUUUUAAGUUUGAAAAAGUUGUGUAUGCUUAUGGCAUUCAUGGAUUUGGGGGGGAUAACCAUGUAAAUUUUAAACAAUUUAAAAAAUUAUAGAUAAGAUGCCUUAAUUAUGAAUAAAUAUAUUUUUUCUCCUUUGCUCCUAGAAGUGGUUUGACAUGACUACUUUUCAGUAUUAAACUAGAAGUGUUUUAAUUUCAUAUUUUAAGUUUUUUAAAUCUCAGAGGAAAAAAUUCUAGUUGGGAUAGUGUUUAAGAUGUAAAAAUUAAAGCACAUGUCAGAACAAUUUGUUAAUUUAACUUUUGUGGGAAUUCCUCUAAAAUCAAAGGAAACACCACAAGAACCCACAGACACAGAAAACGUUGCAAUAGCAUUAGAAGAGUGGGGACAGUAUAGCUCAGUGGCAGAGUGCAUGCUUAGCAUGCACGAGGUCUUAGGUUCAACCCUCAAUACCUCCAUUAAAUAGAUAAAUAAACCUAAUUACCGGCCCCUCCAAAGAAAAAACAAAGCACAAGUGAAGGAUUAAAAAAAUAUUGUGAGCUAUCUUUAAAAAAAAAAAAGGAAACUAUGGUUAAAAGAAAUGUCGCCGUACUUUAACUUUUAUUUGUAGCAAAUCCCAAAUAUGAUCAUUACAUUUUAAAUGUGCUUAAAAACAAAGCAAAACAAAACAAACAAACCAACAAAAAAAAACCAAGGUUCUUCCCUGGAUGAUUUUAAGAGUCUUGAAAAAGGAAGACACAAGGAAAGAAAAGAAAGGAAAAGAAACAAAAAGGUGAUUAAAAUGUUUUUGGAAGGAGAGGGUCCAUAGAGCAGGCUGGCUUUCAGUGCACGUGGAGCUAUAGAGAAACCUGAACAUACUGGCCCAGGAGUCAGCCAAUCAGAAGGCUGAGAACCAUAUUUCCAUAAUGAUGAUUGGCUGGUGGACUGGUGGCUCAGCUGAGCUGAGGAUGGGACGGAAAUGCUCUGCUGAGAAAUAGCAAAACAACUUUCUGGCUUUCUGUUGUUUAU